rnacentral:rRNA from 1 species
UACGGAGGGGGCGAGCGUUAUUCGGAAUUAUUGGGCGUAAAGGGCGCGCAGGCGGCUGCUCAAGUCAGGCGUGAAAGGCCUGGGCUCAACCCGGGAAUUGCGCUUGAGACUGGGCUGGCUUGAGUGCGGGAGAGGAUGGUGGAAUUCCCAGUGUAGAGGUGAAAUGCGCAGAUAUUAGGAAGAACACCGGUGGCGAAGGCGGCUUUCUGGAACGGUACUGACGCUGAGACGCGAAAGCGUGGGGAGCGAACAGG